GUAGGUGGCAAGCGUUGUCCGGAAUUAUUGGGCGUAAAGCGCGCGCAGGCGGUUCUUUAAGUCUGAUGUGAAAGCCCACGGCUCAACCGUGGAGGGUCAUUGGAAACUGGAGAACUUGAGUACAGAAGAGGAAAGCGGAAUUCCACGUGUAGCGGUGAAAUGCGUAGAGAUGUGGAGGAACACCAGUGGCGAAGGCGGCUUUCUGGUCUGUAACUGACGCUGAGGCGCGAAAGCGUGGGGAGCAAACAGGGAUUAGAUACCCUGGUAGUCCACGCCGUAAACGAUGAGUGCUAAGUGUUAGGGGGUUUCCGCCCCCUUAGUGCUGCAGCUAACGCAUUAAGCACUCCGCCUGGGGAGUACGGCUGCAAGGCUG
rnacentral:rRNA from 1 species